rnacentral:rRNA from 1 species
CCUACGGGUGGCAGCAGUGGGGAAUAUUGGGCAAUGGAGGAAACUCUGACCCAGCAACGCCGCGUGAAUGAUGAAGGUCUUCGGAUUGGUAAGUCCCUUUUUAAGGGAAGAAGAAAGUGACGGUACCUUAGGAAUAAGCCUCGGCUAACUACGUGCCAGCAGCCGCGGUAAUACGUAGGAGGCGAGCGUUAUCCGGAAUGAAUGGGCGUAAAGGGUGCGUAGGUGGUCUGGCAAGUUAGUAGCGAAACUCCAAGGCUCAACCUUGGAACUACUACUAAAACUGGUGGACUUGAGUGCAGGAGGGGCAACCGGAAUGCGUGGUGUAGCGGUGGAAUGCGUAGAUAUUACGCAGAACCCCAGUGGCGAAGGCAGGUUGCUAGACUGUAACUGACGCUGAGGCACGAAAGCGUGGGGAUCAAACAGGAUUAGAUACCCCAGUAGUC